rnacentral:sRNA from 1 species
AAUAGAGGGACUCAGGCUAAGAAUUUCACAUCCUAUGAAAACACCUGAGUGACCAACAUCAUACGCUGC